rnacentral:rRNA from 1 species
AACGAACGCUGGCGGCAUGCCUAACACAUGCAAGUCGAACGAGACCUUCGGGUCUAGUGGCGCACGGGUGCGUAACGCGUGGGAACCUGCCUUUAGGUUCGGAAUAACUCAGAGAAAUUUGAGCUAAUACCGGAUGAUGUCUUCGGACCAAAGAUUUAUUGCCUUUAGAUGGGCCCGCGUUGGAUUAGCUAGUUGGUGGGGUAAAGGCCUACCAAGGCGACGAUCCAUAGCUGGUCUGAGAGGAUGAUCAGCCACACUGGGACUGAGACACGGCCCAGACUCCUACGGGAGGCAGCAGUGGGGAAUAUUGGACAAUGGGCGAAAGCCUGAUCCAGCAAUGCCGCGUGAGUGAUGAAAGCCUUAGGGUUGUAAAGCUCUUUUACCCGAGAUGAUAAUGACAGUAUCGGGAGAAUAAGCUCCGGCUAACUCCGUG